rfam:Candidatus Aminicenantes bacterium RBG_19FT_COMBO_65_30 rbg_19ft_combo_scaffold_1095, whole genome shotgun sequence.
GCCCAGGUGGCGGAAUAGGCAUACGCACGACACUUAAAAUGUCGCGGCUGUAAGGCCAUGCGGGUUCGAGUCCCGCCCUGGGCA